GACGUAGGGCGCGAGCGUUGUCCGGAUUUAUUGGGCGUAAAGAGCUCGUAGGCGGCUUGUCGCGUCGACCGUGAAAACUCGCAGCUCAACUGCGAGCCUGCGGUCGAUACGGGCAGGCUAGAGUUCGGCAGGGGAGACUGGAAUUCCUGGUGUAGCGGUGAAAUGCGCAGAUAUCAGGAGGAACACCGGAGGCGAAGGCGAGUCUCUGGGCCGAUACUGACGCUGAGGAGCGAAAGCGUGGGGAGCGAACAGG
rnacentral:rRNA from 1 species